ensembl:lncRNA
GAGACGUGAUCAGUCGUGACCCAGACAACAUGAAGACUGCGGCUAUCUCGCUGCUUAUCGGUGUGUAUGUGCUGCUGCAGUCUGCACUGACUGUUUCUGCAGUGUCUCUGUCUGUCAGCCCAAACCUUCAGCAGUUCUUCAGUGGACCUUCUUCAGUGUAUCUGAGUUGUGUUGAUGAUGGACAGACAGUUGAUGGAUGGACAGUGAAGAGGACCAGAGGAGGACUUACUGAGGACUGUGGAGCAGCUGCAGGUUUUGGGGAGUUUAAAAGUUACACCUGCAUUUUCUCAGACAUCUCCGAGUCAGACUCUGCAGGUUACUGGUGUGAAACCAGUUCUGGACAGAGGAGUGAUCAGAUCAACAUCACUGUAAC